AGCUUCGGCACUUUGAGAUGGGCGUGCGGCUGAUUAGGUAGUUGGUAGGGUAACGGCCUACCAAGCCGACGAUCAGUAGCUGAUGUGAGAGCAUGAUCAGCCACACGGGCACUGAGACACGGGCCCGACUCCUACGGGAGGCAGCAGUGAGGAAUAUUGGUCAAUGGAGGAAACUCUGAACCAGCCAUGCCGCGUGGAGGAUGAAGGUCCUCUGGAUUGUAAACUCCUUUUAUAAAAGAAGAAACCCCAUUUUUCUAAAAUGGGUUGACGGUACUUUAUGAAUAAGCACCGGCUAACUCCGUGCCAGCAGCCGCGGUAAUACGGAGGGUGCAAGCGUUAUCCGGAUUCACUGGGUUUAAAGGGAGCGUAGGUGGGUUGGUAAGUCAGUGGUGAAAUCUCCGAGCUUAACUUGGAAACUGCCAUUGAUACUAUCGAUCUUGAAUACUGUGGAGGUAAGCGGAAUAUAUCAUGUAGCGGUGAAAUGCUUAGAUAUGAUAUAGAACACCAAUAGCGAAGG
rnacentral:rRNA from 1 species